rnacentral:rRNA from 1 species
UACGGGGGGGGCAAGCGUUGUUCGGAAUUACUGGGCGUAAAGGGCUCGUAGGUGGCCAACUAAGUCGGACGUGAAAUCCCUCGGCUUAACCGGGGAACUGCGUCCGAUACUGGUUGGCUUGAGUUUGGGAGAGGGAUGCGGAAUUCCCGGUGUAGCGGUGAAAUGCGUAGAUAUCGGGAGGAACAUCAGUGGCGAAGGCGGCUACCUGGCCCAAUACUGACACUCAGGUGCGACAGCGUGGGGAGCAAACAGG